rnacentral:lncRNA from 1 species
UUUUGGGGUUUGUUCUGUCUCUUUCUUUUGUUUUAGCUAGUCUUGUUGCCCUUGAGACACGCUCUGUUGUGGUCCACUUUUGGGACUUGUACUCUUUAUUAGAUAGCUCUGUACUAGUGACUUCCAGGUUCUGGGAGGGAUUUCUGUAUAUAUUUAUUUUUGGGUUGCUUCCGCCUUGUUAUUCUUGUUUAGAUUAUUAUUUUCGCUAGUUUCUGCC